CGCCACUCUGCAGCCGCGGGCGGGACCUCUCCCCUGGCUACAGCUAUGAGCCCCCGCCCUGGGCUGGGUCUGUCCCGCUCUAACCUCGCCCCUAAGGCGCGCGCUGCCGAGCCGAGCCUACAGGCGCCCCUGGGCCCGACCGGCGGCGGCGGCGCCCCACGAGCUGGGCUGGGCCGGGCCGCUAAGGCGGCUCCGGCGGGGCCUCUCUAGGCCGCCCUCUCGGCGGCCGCGGCUGCGCGGCGGCGCUCCCUAGCGGGGCGGGGCGGUGCCGGCGGCGAUGGCGGCGGCGAUGGCGACGCUGUGGGCGCUGCUGGCGGCGCUGCGGGUGGGCUGGUGCCUGCUGCCGCAGGCCGGCUACCUCCACCCCGACGAGUUCUUCCAGGCGCCCGAGGUCAUGGCAGGAGAUAUUUUAAACCUACAGGUCUAUUAUCCCUGGGAGUUCCUUUCCAGCUCUCCUUGCAGAACAGUUGUUUUCCCAUUAAUGACAUCUGGAGUUACCUACUGGGUGAUCAAGUGUUUGCAGCAGCUGGACAUAUGGUCAAGUUGCAUCAACAGCUACACCCUUCUUGUAUCACCUCGCCUUCUCUUUACAAUCUUUUCUUUCCUGCUUGACUAUAGUGUGUAUCGAUUAGCUCCUUUCUGGGAAGCAGAUCCAUGGAAAGCACUGGUACUUCUUGCUGGAUCACAUGUCACUCUGGUGUUUUAUACAAGAACAUUUACCAAUACACUUGAAGGACUUCUGUUUGCUCUUCUGGUGGUAUUGGUUUCCUCAAGUUCUGAUGGCAGCUUAGCAGAGCCUAGAAGUAGCCGUCUUAUAGGAAUUGUAACAGUUGCUGGGUUUUUCAACAGGCCAACUUUUCUAGCAUUUGCUCUAAUACCACUGCUUUACUGGAUGGGUUUAAAUAUUGACUCUCAAAAGAGCAUUAAAACUGUCAUAAACCACUUUUUGAAGCUUGUCCCAUGUGCAUGCUUUACCGCUGUUUUUUUCAUAAUGGCCGACACCUUGUAUUUUACCUCCAUGGGAUUAGACAACCUCUACAGCAUUGAAAAGAACAGCCUAUUUGAUAUAAUAUCUCAGUUAAAUCAGAAAAUAAUAGUAACCCCUUUAAAUUUUCUCCGCUAUAAUCUUAAUCCUCAUAAUCUUGCACAGCAUGGAAGUCACCCACGACUUACACAUUUUAUGGUCAAUGGGAUAAUGCUCUUUGGGAUCCUACAUAUUCUGGCCAUCGGUGCUGGUUUUAAGAUGUUAAAGAAAUGUAUCUAUAUAUUGCCACAGGUCAAGUCAUAUUACCAUGGGUCAUCUAGGAUAUUAGUGCAUUCUGAGGGCAGCCCAAUAUUAUUGUUGUUUUACUUUGUUCCUUUGGCAUUUCUCUCCCUCUUCAGUCACCAAGAACCUCGGUUUCUCAUUCCUCUCAUCUUACCAUUAGUCCUGUUCAGCACCUCACAGAAUAGAGCUAUGAAGUGGAAACCCAUCAUUAUUAUUUUCAAUGUUCUUGGGGCUUUGUUGUUUGGAUGCUUACACCAGGGAGGACUGAUACCAUGCUUGUUUCACUUGGAGCAACUUGUGCAUUCUCCAGAGUCCUCAAACCAUCCAGGACACUAUAUUCUACUCUUUGCUCACACCUACAUGCCUCCUAGGUCUCUGCUCAAUAUCAAGAAAAGAGACACACAUAUAGAAGUAAUUGAUAUGGCUGGGUCUGAAGAAGAAACCCUCUGCCAAACAGUAGGACAGCUAACAAACAAUUUUACCUGCAAUGAUUGUCAUUUUUUUGUUAUAAUCCCUGGUACAGUCAGAGCCACAAUUACAAAAUGCGGUGUCUCAUUCAAGAAUGAGACUUUAAUAUUUCCACACUUAUCAAUGGAAGAUCCACCACAAAUAUCCUUUCUAUUUAGUGAAAAUUGGAGAAGUCAGUUAGGACUACACAUCCUCCAACUAGACAGAGAUCAACAGAGUCUUUAGAAGAACUAUGUUUUAGUUUUUCACUUCGCUUUGGCUCUGCCCAAAAGUUCUAUGAGACCUUUCUCUUCACAAACCCACAUUCAGCACAGGCAGUGGCAUUGUGAGCUCCCCUUAUUCUCUUUAUUCCUUUUCUUCUUGCUCUUAUAUUCUUCAGCGUAGUCAGUUCUGGGUAGGACCUGCUUAAAAUUUGAGGGUCAUUCAGUUCUUGUGAAGUCCUAUGAACUUGUGUAACUUUCCUAAUGAAAGAGGAAGUCAGAACUCACCAAAACUUUGAUUCAAGCUUAGUUCUCUCCAUGAAGCUGUACUUUUGAAUUUCUUAUAAACUCUGCUAUAGAGGGUUUGUGGGUUAUGUUUUUGUUGUUGUUGCUAAUUCGCAUUGACUCAGCUGCUGAAGAGAGGACACUGGACUAGAUGAAAGUUGCCGUUACCCAAAAUGGUUGUACUUUUAGGCUCUUAAAAAUUCAGAGCCUUCUCUCAGUCAUUAGACCAGACUGCAGUCAUAGUGUAGGUACCAGCAUUGUAAUACUGUUUGAUGAGGCUCUUGGGUGGCCCUCUCUUGUAAAGUCCCUGGUGUUGAUCUAAUAGAAUCUGAUUUGGAACAUGGAAGAAACUUCAGCAUAGGCACUUGUGAUAAAUCCUAAAAUCCAAGUGCUAUUUUGCCUGGUGCGUGUUUCUUGCCACAGUUCCAUUCUUGUGGACAUAUGUAUUACACAUUGCACGUUGAGAAUGAUGUUUCAUAGUAUUACGCCUAUUGCUUAGCUGCUGCAAUUGGAGCAGUCCUUCCCUUUCACACUCCACUGUGCCCUCUCACUGCUUUCACUGCUUUUCAUGGCCCUACCACCAGCAGUGGUGCACAUGUGGCCUUCAGUGAGCUAGUUUAAGGAGCUAAGCAGACAGAAAACUUAGGCCGAUUUGAUCUUUAUGUUUUUGGCUACAGAAAUCAGAAUGGUUGAGGUUGGAAGGGACCUUUGGAGAUCAUCUAGUCCAACCCCCCUGCUCAAGCAGGGUGACCUAAAAGAGGUUGCCCAGGACCGUGUCCAGAUGACUUUUGAAUAUCUCCAAGGAUGGAGAUGCCACAACCUCUCUGAGCAACCUGUUCCACUGCUCAGUCAUCCUCACAGUAAAAUAGUUUUUCCUGGGUUUCAGUUUGUGCCCGUUGCCUCUUAUCCUGUCACUAGACACCACUGAAAAGUCUGGGCUAUCUUCUUUAUACCCUCCCUUCAGAUAUUUAUAAAUAGCGGUAAGAUCCCUCCCUGAGCCUUCUCUCUCCCCAGGCUAAAUGAUCCCAGCUCUCUCAGCCUUUCCUCAUGACAGAGGCUCCAGUCCCUUAAUCAUCUUAGUUGCCCUUUGCUGGACUCGCUCCAGUUAAGUCCCUGUCUCUCAUGUACUAUGGAGCCUAGCAGUGGACACAGUACUCCAGGUGUGUCUCACCAGAGCUGAGUAAAGGCGGAGGAUCAACUCCCUCGACCUGCUGGCAAUGCUCUUCCUGAUGCAGCCCAGGAUACCAUUGGCCUUCUUUGCCAGCAGGGCACAUUGCUGGGUCAUGGUCAAUGUCUUGUCCACCAGGACCCCAAGUUCUUCUCUGCAAAGUUAAUUUCCAGCAGAUGAGCCCCCAUCCUGUACUUGUGCAUGGGGUUAUUCCUCCCUAGGUGCAGGACUUGCACUUCUGUUUGUUGAACUUCAUGAGGUUCUUGUCUGCCUGUUUCUCCAGCCUCUCAGGGCCCUAGAUGAAUCUCUGAACUGCCUUACUGGGGGUUAGACAAGCACCAGUUAUGUUGCAGGCAGUGAGUGCAAUUAAGGGGAGGGGUAACAUGCCCUCCCCUUCACUAACAAUUCACCAUUAAAUCAACCUACUUAGAAUGACAAAUCACAUCCUGGCUCUCUAAUAGAGGGUAGUCUGAAUUUAAACUGCAAUACAAAAAAUCUGAGCUAUAGUUCAGCAGGCUGUAUCUGCUAAAUAGUAUAUCACAUCUAACAAUUUGUGUUUAGUUUUUGCCUUCAUCAACUUCUGGAUUCAAAAACUCCUGACAUGGAGAGAGAUGUUACAGAAUCACAUAUUAAUUCAGUACAUGCACUGUAGGCCAAGCCUCUCCCUAUGAAAUGAAUCUGACAUUUGGAUUCUUUCUGUUCAUAAUGGCAGUAAUGCUUUUUGCAGUUCUUCAUGCACACAACUGAGGUCUUACAAGCCAGAUUUUUUUCAGCAGAGCCAAGAACAACAUCUUUUGAUGCCAGGCUCUAAAAGGAAGCCAGGAAAAGUCCUUGUGUGAAGGAUUUGCCUGUAUCUUCCAAAUCACACGAAUAAUCUAGACUUUUCAGGAACAUAGUUUUUGCUAUCUUGUAAAGCAUUUUACAUUACAAGUCUCCUCGACAUGUCCACCCCAAAUCCUUGAUCUCUCACUAUUGGAAGGCCUGCAAGUUGCAGGUAGGUGUUUUUUGGAGGGGGUAGGGGAAGGAGGGUUACAUGUAUGUUUGCACUGAUGACUUACGCAGUAGUGGAAGUUAUGAAAACAUCAUGAUCACAAGUAUUUUCAGGUUAAUUUCCUUUUCUAUGUUCUUCCAUGUUGAAACAAUAAUCUGGUGUCACAGUUGGUAUUCCAUGUCCUCUUUACCGUUUUCAGCUGUACUUAAACAGCUUUAAAAUCUGAAAAUUGUUUUCAUGAACUUCAUGAUCUCUGGCAGUAUCAGAGGAGUAGAUUUUUGAACUUCAGAAACCUAGUGGAGCAUCAUUCCUAUGGCAUGAUGGCUUCUACAACAUUGCACAGGUAAUCUGUGAUAGAUCCAAGAAGAGAAUCUGGAUUUCAAAUGCUAAUUCAGACCUAAAAUACACUGCUUUUGACUCACCAGAUAGAUCUUUAUCACUUACACCAUACAUCCAUUUUUUCAUUCCGUGCACAAUGAAGUCUUUGUUGGUGGGAAUUUUACUUUUAUAAGGAGUUUUGGAGACUCUGUAUCUAGUGAUUUGUGACAUGCUUUUCACCUUAUGUGAUACAAAGAAUGGAAACCAUCCUCCUCAGUUAUCUAAGCAUCUAGCCAUCUAGGCUAAAAGGUGAAACAUGCUAAGAGGAAACGCUAACAAUUUUUGUCUCAUGUAUGCUGUUGGCUACAGCAGCUUAAUUAAACCAGCCCAGUGCAUCACACGAGCUGGAUGGAUCUAUUUCCAUAUUUAUAGUCAGGAUGGCUGUUUGGGUGCUUUUUCCCUCAAAAGCAAAUUUUUAGGCCUAUUUUAAUCACUAAAGUAUCUUUGCAAACCUCUUUUGCUACCAUUGACUUAAGGUGUGCCUUUAGGAUAGCACCAAAUCUCUGACUUUUCUUUACCUGUCAAAUGGACUGUUAUUCUAUCCACCACCACCACCACCAUCAAAGUUCUUAGAGCUCUUUUUGUAUGAAAGUCGCAACAUAAAUGUAGAAUACUACCGUUGUACAGCCAGCAAUUCUUAAAGGAAUGCCAGUGAGAGAUUUUGCUUUUAUUUUAAGUUCUUUUAUCACGCACUUAAAGUGUCAAUCUUGCCAGUAUUCUGAACGAUGUGUAAGUGUUUCUGCCUGUUACAGAGUAUUGUGGAAAGUGUAAACCGAUUUUGAAAUGAAAAUCCAUCAUGUUGGAAAGCAGCAUGCUUCACAUUUCCAUGCUUGGACCGGGAAACUAGUGAUGGGCGUACGGCUGUGGGAAAAGCAGCAUAAAUCCGCAUCUCACAACGCGCGUUACACGGUGGGGGGUGCAGCAGGGCUCCUCCUCCGUCGCCAGUGCCGCCGGCCCUGCUCGCGGUGCUGUCGGACGCUGUCCCCGGCCCCACGUCGCCGUUAUCAUCCCGCGCGGCCGAGGCGCGUCGGCUUCACCGGGCUCGCCGGCCGCUGCGCCGUCGCUCGGAGCACGGUUCACCUCCUCCUGCCGCCGCCGCGCCGCGCCGGCCUCAGGGCGCGGCCCCGGGGCGGCCCCCGCGGCCCGGCCCGCGCCCGGGGGGCCGCGGCCAGCCCCGCUCGCGGGCGCCCUCCUCCAGCUCCCGGCGGAAGGUGUCGCGCAGGCGGGCCAGGCGGCGGGCCAGGCCCUCUCCGCCCAGCAGGCCCCGGGCCGCCCGGCGGCCGCCAAGCUGGGCGCGGGUGAGGGCGGCAGCGGUGAGGCGGGCGGCGGCGCGCACGGGCCGCGACUCGGAGAGCUUCUCCACGAGGCGCGCGUCGUUCAGCAGCACCCACAACACCCGCCGCAGCACCAUCCUCCCGCAGCACCGCGCCGCCCACCUCUCGCGAGACCGCGCCCGCCGCGCCGCGCCGUGCUGCGCCGCACCGCCCACCUCUCGCGUGACCGCGCCCGCCGCGCCGCGCCUCACGGCCCACCUCUCGCGAGAAUCGCUCUCACCGCCCAGCUCUCGCGAGAGCGGCGCGCACUGCCCGCCGCUAUUGGCUGCCGUCUCAGCACCGCGCGUUACCGGCGGGCGCCGCUGAGGGCGAGAAGGAGAAGGAGGAGGAGGAGAAGAAGAAGGAGAAGAAGAAGAAGGAGAAGAAGAAGAAGGAGAAGAAGAAGAAGGAGGAGGAGGAGGAGGAGGAAGCGGCGGCGGCGGCGGCGGCGGCAACGACGACGACGAGAAGCGGGGUGGGAAGAAGGAGAAGAUGUGCUCGGGGUGGACGUUGAGCAUCCUCCGCAGCGACUCGUACGCAGACCUCAGCCAGUACCGGGACCAGCACUUCCGGGUCCGAGAUGAGUAUCGGCAAGACUAUGAUGCGGGAAGAGGCGGCUAUGGCAAAACUGUUCAAUGCCAGUGAAUAGCGAAUGACUCAUCAGCCUCACAGGAGAACUAAAGCUGCACUGUAAAUGUCAUGAGCCAUGAAAUAGGUCUGUUGCACACAAAUUUAAGUAACUAGAAAUUCACAGAAACUACUAUCAGUGUUGCUGUGGUCACUUAGUGUGUUCAGUAUCUCCUCCAUUUUAAAGUCUAGUUACAAUACCAGGAUCCAAAGCAUUGGAGAGUGCAUUAAUACAGAGGACUUGGAAGCAGGGAUUUAAGCACUGGUAUGCACAAGACUCUGGUAUCUAACUGCUGCUGUAACUCUUAUAUAAAAUAGAACCAAGAUUUAACACUAUGGUGCUUUCUUCCACUGGCGAAAACUUGAUUAUUCUGUUGCUGGAUUUUGUUUACAUUAGUAUCACAGGGUAGAGAGGAGGGUUUGUAUAUGUUUCAGAGAUGAAAGGAAAAGGCAAGAAGCCUGAAGGGGAUGGGAGAGCAAUUUCUAGGGAAAACUUAAAGUUGCAGAUUUUCCUGAGAUUACUGGAUUAGAACAGUCAUGUAAACUGGUGCAGUUCCUUUGUGGAGCUAGUGCAUAUACAUGAAGGUCACAGCAAAGCAAGUUGUAGGACAGAUUGAUUCCAGGAACCAUAAAGUAAGAAGCAACCAUAGUAGACAGCAGAAAACAGACCCACAAAGUCUUCUACAGAGUAAAAUGGGAUUGCAUGACAUUUGUUUAUCCAUUUGGCUUUGUGGAAUACAGAGAACAGGAAGUUUAAAAGUUACACUACCAGUUAUUUGCUUAGUUUGGGUAAUACUAGUUUGCUUCCAUCUGGUAGCUCUCUACAGCCCUAGUAUUUGAGGAGCGGUAUCUUCCAGGUACCUACAAAAGUGGCAUAGAGCCAAUUUCUACAGUUACCCCUGGAAAUGAGAUGUUUGAGGAACUAUGUCUAUAAAACAGAGGGAAAGGUUGUUCUUAAAAUAGAUUUUUCCUAUUGAAAGAAACCUGAUUGCAGAUAAAAGUAAAAAUAAUAAAAAAACCUGACUUUUGAGAGCCUUACUUUAUAUUGAGCAUAUGGUGAGAAUGACAAAAGAACUGCAGGAUUUUCUAGUUUCUUUUUUUUUUCUUUUUUUCCUCUGGAUCAUGUUAACACUGUCAGUUCAUGUGAUGGGAUUCUGUGAUACUGCAGACAUAGGAAAAAUAAUCUGUGCUUGCAACAUAUGUGAAAUUGGCCUGCUGAGAUGAUAGAGUUGGAAUGGAGCUGCUAUAGGUUUUGGGGGAUUGGUAUGGGUCUCUUCUGGAUUUUUGGGUUUUUUUAUGGAACUCUGAGUUCUUUGGAAACUGCAAUUCUUUAAGUUUUCCAAGUAUUUUAUUGUCUGUGACUUCUUAAAAACCUCUGAAAUAUCAAGUAUAUAAAACUUGAUCUUUCCUCAUUGAGGAUAUUGUUGAAAAUCUUGAUGUGUUUCUUGCAUACAGUUUGUCACAAUUGUUACUUUAAGUUGGAAAUGCCGUGAGAUAAAAUAUUUGUAAUGAGACUUUGCUUACUUAGCGAGUUUUUUGUGGGUUUUUUUGGCACAAAGACAUAGAGUAAAACUAGAUCUUCAGGAUCACUUGAUCCUGGUUUGCAAACAAGACUUCCAGCGAAUUUAUUUUUUUCUACAUAAUGCAUUUGAUGAUGAGUUUACGCUCUCUAGGAAAUCUGCUCUAGGAAACCUGUGAAGUUUAUUUUUCACUGUAUUGGAUUUUGUAUAUAAACUUGUCUGUUCUCAAAACUCUAAGUCACUUUCAAAUAAAGUUGCAACAGUAAAAUGGA